GAUGGUCACAUAGAUAGAUGGAUAGAUAGAUAGAUAGAUAGAUGGAGAGAUAGAUAGAUAGAUACAUAUAUACAUAUAUACACUGAUAGAUAGGUAAACAGACAGACAGACAAAGAUAUAAAUAUGUAUUUGUCUAUUAAAUUCACUCCCGAGGCACAUUGAUCAGCCUUAAGGUUAUUAAUAGAAAAUACUUUCCCAGGGUGCUGCACAGUGGGAAUGAUCCUGAAACCUCAUGCUUGCAAAGCAAACUCCUUAACCACACAGCCACGCUUGUGCCUAUGUGUAUCUGUAUUUCUUCUUUGAUACCAAUUCACCUAAAACUGUCUCUAAUUCCUUAUCACAAAACAUCCAAUUGUAAAUCCUUUACAUUUAAUUUCAAAAAUAGGAAACUUUUGAUAUGUUCCAAGCACCAAACUUAUAAUUAAUUAAUAAAGUUUGUUAUUUUAAUGAAUCUCUCUAAAUUUGUAAUUAUUUUCAAAAUUGAAAUAUUGUCUGUGCAUAUUUUAUUAAGAGUUCUAGUCAUGAAAUAGGAAAUACUGGGUGCAGCAGAAAAACCUCCUGCAUUUCAGAUGGCCAUUGGCUUGGCACCAGUGAAGUUCCAUUGAUGAUAAUGGUGUCUUUAGGGAGCCAAUGUCUUACCAUUCUUUUUCAUUUACCAUUUUGAUUUUAAUUAAUGCAUUUUGUGUGUAUUUUAAUGAAACAUUUGUAAAUGUGUAGAAUCCAGGACAUCUUUUCUUUUCCAUUGCACCCUGUAUCUAUGCAUACGAGGUGUUAAAUAUUUUUAUCAUACUUGAUAUUCUAAUAAAUCAGAGCUCUUUUUAUUGUUGUUUA